AGUCGAACGAUAACCUCGAACUUAUUUUGUCGCAAUUUAGGAUCGGGGGACAGUGGCGAACGGGUGAGUAACGCGUAAGCAAUCUGCCUUAACUGCGGAAUAACUCUUCGAAAGAGGCGCUAAUACCGCAUGUGGUCCCGGUCUGACAUCGGACCGGGAUUAAAGAUGUGUCUCGCUUGCGGGAUAUGUCGGUUAAGGAUGAGCUUGCGUCCUAUUAGCUUGUUGGUAGGGUAAUGGCCUACCAAGGCUUUGAUGGGUAGCUGGUCUGAGAGGAUGGUCAGCCACACUGGGACUGAGACACUGCCCAGACUCCUACGGGAGGCUGCAGUCGAGAAUCAUCCGCAAUGGGCGAAAGCCUGACGGUGCGACGCCGCGUGGAGGAUGAAGGCCUUCGGGUUGUAAACUCCUUUCACUCGGGAAGAAAAAUCAUUUCGUGAAUAACGGGAUGACCUGACGGUACCGAGAGAAGAAGCCCUGGCUAACUCCGUGCCAGCAGCCGCGGUAAUACGGAGAGGGCUAGCGUUGUUCGGAUUUACUGGGCGUAAAGGGUAUGUAGGUGUCUUGAUAAGCUCUGGGUGAAAUCUCCGCGCUCAACGCGGAAACGAAUCAGAGAACUAUCAGGAUUGAGUUCAGGAGAAGAGAGUGGAAUUCUCGGUGUAGCGGUGAAAUGCGUAGAUAUCGAGAAGAACACCAGCGGCGAAGGCGGCUCUCUAUUCUGAAACUGACACUCAAAUACGAAAGCGUGGGGAGCGAAUGGGAUUAGAUACCCCAGUAGUCCACGCUGUAAACGAUGUGCACUUGGUGUAUUCCAUUUAAUGGGGUGUGCCGGAGCUAACGCGUUAAGUGCACCGCCUGGGGAGUACGGCCGCAAGGCUAAAACUCAAAUGAAUUGACGG
rnacentral:rRNA from 1 species